AUUGAACGCUGGCGGCAUGCUUUACACAUGCAAGUCGAACGGCAGCGCGGGCUUUGGCCUGGCGGCGAGUGGCGAACGGGUGAGUAAUACAUCGGAACGUGCCCAGUAGUGGGGGAUAGCUCGGCGAAAGCCGGAUUAAUACCGCAUACGACCUGAGGGUGAAAGCGGGGGUUCUUCGGACCUCGCGCUAUUGGAGCGGCCGAUGGCAGAUUAGCUAGUUGGUGGGGUAAAGGCCUACCAAGGCGACGAUCUGUAGCUGGUCUGAGAGGACGACCAGCCACACUGGGACUGAGACACGGCCCAGACUCCUACGGGAGGCAGCAGUGGGGAAUUUUGGACAAUGGGCGAAGUCCUGAUCCAGCAAUGCCGCGUGUGUGAUGAAGGCCUUCGGGUUGUAAAGCACUUUUGGCGGGAACGAAAAGGACUGUGCCAAUACCACGGUUCGAUGACGGUACCCGCAGAAUAAGCACCGGCUAACUACGUG
rnacentral:rRNA from 1 species